GGUGGGUUAGCUCAGUGGGUAGAGCUAAGGGCUCAUGACCGGGAGGUCCGGGUUCGAAUCUUGGUUUUUCCA
rnacentral:tRNA from 1 species